rnacentral:rRNA from 1 species
GAUGAACGCUGACAGAAUGCUUAACACAUCAGCAAUUGAUUGGUGGCGGACGGGCGAGUAACGCGUAAAGAACUUACCUCACAGUUAGGGACAACAUUUGGAAACGAAUGCUAAUACCUAAUACUGUGAGAGAGCUUUUCGUCCCAUUAGCUAGUUGGAGAGGUAACGGUUCACCAAGGCGAUGAUGGGUAGCCGGCCUGAGAGGGUGAUCGGCCACAAGGGAACUGAGACACGGCACUUACUCCUACGGGAGGCAGCAGAGGGGAAUAAUGAUCAAUGGACCAAAGUCUGAUCCGGCAAUUCUGUGUGCACGAUGAAGUUUUCGGAAUGUAAAGUGCUUUCGGUUGGGAAGCGGUACCAACAGAAGAAGUGACGGCUAAAUACGUGCCAGCAGCCGCGGUAAUAC